UACGUAGGGUGCAAGCGUUAAUCGGAAUUACUGGGCGUAAAGCGUGCGCAGGCGGCUUUGCAAGACAGAUGUGAAAUCCCCGGGCUUAACCUGGGAACUGCAUUUGUGACUGCAUGGCUGGAGUGCGGCAGAGGGGGAUGGAAUUCCGCGUGUAGCAGUGAAAUGCGUAGAUAUGCGGAGGAACACCGAUGGCGAAGGUAAUCCCCUGGGCCUGCACUGACGCUCAUGCACGGAAGCGUGGGGAGCAAACAGG
rnacentral:rRNA from 1 species